ensembl:lncRNA
UCCCCCCAGCGUCCACAUCCCAAGUUCAUCCCCAAACCCCUCCCCUCAAAAUAACUGAUGGAAAAACACUCCUCUUUCCAAACCAAAAAUCACCUCCUCUUUUGGAUAAAUGUGUUUUCCUAAAAUGUGGGAAGAAUUUGGUCACCAACUAAUUCAACGGACUCCAGGAUUCAAGGGUGAAGCCCCAGGAGAGACCCUUCAGCAAACUCCAAAAACUGCAAACCAGCUGACAGAGAAUCCCAGGCUGGAAGCAGCAGCAGCGUGCUUACCCCAAGAUGAGCAAGCUCAACAGAGGACCCAGACAGACCACCGUCCGCACUUCUGGGCGUCACAUCCGUGUCGAGUGUCCGGGCUGUGUCUCGGCGCUACUGCCGACCCGGGUGUGAGGGGAACACUGUCGGUGCCCUGAAAAUAGCAGGAAUCACACUGCUGCCCUGCAAGCCUGCGGCUCUUAAUCUUCUUAAAAUGCUUCCUCUGAAAGUCACUUGCCAAGCAGCAGCUUCACAAAUACUAUGAGGCCCCCAGGGAACGUUUCCAGGGUCACCACUACCUAAGUGGCAGGGGGUUGAAAAUGAUGGCCGUGUGGUCUGGUCUGAAUGCAGGCAGGGAAGCUUCCUUUGCGCACACGUUCAAAUGUCCACAAUCUCAGAGUUAGCUGGAAGUGCCUUACUUCACAAGGGUUAGCAUUUAAUACUCUUAAAAAAAAAAAAAAGCCACUCGAAGCACAUUUUGAAACUUCCACAUUAAAAAGAUCCUUGUUCAUUGAUUUUGGUGGGAUAACUAAGCUAAUCUAAACAAGGGGACCUUGUGCGGGCAGGGG